CUCGCUGUCCUCGCAGAGACACUUCUCCAGCCGUCACCUCAGGACCAGGACGUCCCAGCCGCUCGUAGGACAGGAACCGGACUCGCACCCUCAACCCACACACACACUGCACCAUGUCGGACUCCGAGACCGCUGCCGCCCCCCCCGCCGAGGCCCCCGUCCCUGCUGCGUGCGCCGGCAUCAAGGCUGACCUGGACAAAUGUGUUGCAGGGAACGGAGUGGAGGGCUGCAAGGACCUGAUGGAGGCGUUCGCCGCCUGCGUGAAGAGCGCCGCCGAGUCCUGAGGAGCCGCCUCACACCCCCCAUGUCAGGAUCUCCCAUUACCUGGUCCACUGCACUGACUCCUCCAGGUUCCCAGCAUUCCCUUCUGCACAACAGCACCGGACUGAAUGAUGACAACAACGAUGAAGAAGAUGAUGAUGAUGAUGAUGGUUCCUGUUGAUUCAGGCUACAUUUGGGAUCUGGCAGCAAUAACCCUCCCUCCCCCCCUUGUUAGGCUUUUCUGGUGUCCCUCAGUCUUACCCCCCCACCCCUCUCCCUCUAUGGCUGAUAUACAGAACAUCGACUUGUAGUCGCUUCCAGAGCCGAUGGGCUGUAAUGUGAUAUUGCCGACUUGAACUUAUAAAUGGAAAUAAAAGUAUGAAAUAUU